rnacentral:lncRNA from 13 species
GACCUCGACCCUGGGAACACGAUAUCCCUCUGUCACCAGGGUGGAACACAAUGGCAUGAUCUUAGCUCACUGCAGUCUUGAACCCUUGGGCUCAGGAGAUUCUCUCACCUCAGCCUCCAAAAGCUCUGGGAUGACAGGCAUCUGGUUUUAAAUUUGGCUUCACGUCAGUCUGGAAGGGCAGUAUUCAAAAGACCGGAGCCUGGCCCAGCUGCCGACCUUAGCCGGGGGAUGUCAGAGCAGCAGAGCCAUGGUAGGUUUGCUUUCACAGCCUUAUUUAACUUUGCUUGUUGGCUCAGCUUGCUCAUC